CUCUCCAGCGACUGCACAUGCCCUACAGCAAAAAUUUCUUUAAAAAAAAAAAAAAGUUACAUGAACACUGAGGAACUGUCCAAGCCCUCUUCCCCAGCGGAGUGGCAGCCCCACAUAGAGCCCCAGGGAGGAGACGGCGAGAUGACCAGCAUGAGGAAAGACAGAAAUGCCGAUGAGGCUGGAUCAGGCCAGACGUAACACCGUCGUAAGUCGAGGAGCACCUGCACGUCGGAGUCCCGGGGCGCCCCGACUGGCCCUCCAGCUGUGGAGGUGAACAGCGCUGUAUGUGAGGGCCGGCCUGAGUCAGCUGCCAGUACAGGGAAGAUGGGGAGGGGGCUACGCUGCGGGACCGCCAGGAGCCAUACCUGCUGCGUCCCCCGGGAUGGUGCACCUCGAGUGCCUCAGGGGAGAUUUACGAGAGCCCAGACCGUUGGCGAGGUAAGUAAAAAUGCCUCGUAAAUGCUAGGGCGCUGUGGGGAAAUGUCGGCCGUGAGCCAGUCCUAAACUGCGAGCCUGCACUGCCCCUGCCCGGCAGACUGCAGGUCCCCGGCCCCUUGGCUCUCCAACUGGCGUAGGUUUUCCUUUUCUCCUAGCAGAUUCAUUUGUCAUAGUCCCCUGACUUGGCCUCUUUCUCCUAACGGAGCCUGCUUCCAACUGCAGUGAAAAAUUUGUGCAUGUCAUUUUUCAAAGAAAGUCAGGAGGGGGGAAAAAAAGCCCAAAGUUGGAAUAGUUUGAAGCUCAAAACACAAUGGAUGUGUGUGUGUAAAAUCAGAUUGUCCUCGGAGCUCGGAGCCUUCAACCCAACGUCCAUCUCAUCUACUGAGUCACUUUCUUGGCCUCGCGGCUUCGAUCUUUCACUAAGCCAAAAAUACUUGCUGAUACUAACCGCAAUUUAUUGAGUGAUAGGAUACUUGGACUGUACUUUGAGACAGAGCCUAGAGUCCCGAAUAUUAGACAAUUAAUAGUAAGGAAAUCUUUUUGUCAUCUAGCAAAAGUAAACUUCAAAUUAAUUAACAGUCUAUACUGGAAUUUCCGACUUUUAUGAGCCUACUUUAGACAUCUGGGCUUUUACCAGGUGCAAGGUGUUUGUUUAGGCCGACAACGUGAAGUAGGUCGAUGCCUGCAUUUGCUUCUCGUAAAUCUCUCAGCGAUGUCAACACUUGAAUACUUAAUGCUGCACUGAACAUUGUUUCAAAGAUAGUGUGGAUAAAAGCUAACCGCUGGUGAGUCUGAACUUUGCUAAGAUUACCUUAAGCCAGAUCUUGGAAACAUUCUCUGUAAUGAACGCCAGAACAUCUUAGGACAUGGCCUCCAGUUCUUUAGCACGGAAUUACCGAAACAUGACAUUACUGGACAACUACCAAGGCCAUCUUCGCUCUUUCUUUUUUUCCCCAAAGGGGGCAUGUGCUUGCCCGAGAGAGACAAGAAACAGAGGGAGAAAGCACCCCCGUGGGGCACGGUCCUGCUGCAGCCCUCCCUCUUGCAUCUCCCCUCCCCAUUGGGAUUUGGGGCACAUGGACACUCUGAGUGUAUUUUUAAGCUGCCAAGGCUGGAAUGCCAGCAGUGCACUUGCCCAUGUGGGGCUCAUCUCCCUUCACCUCCAGGCCACAGGGUGGGCCCAAGGCUCUUCUAAUCUGCAAUUUCCUUGCCAGCAUCUCACCUAGGAUGCUGGAUUCCAGGUACUCACCCUCCCAUCCUAAUACAGCUAGCAAUGGCCCUAGAUCCAGUUCGGGCCAAUUGAUGGAAGAGAGACCUGGCCAGGGGUGGGAGGAAAGAUUUCCCUACCCCAAGAGAAGGUGAGGUGCCUGUGGGCAGAUGCCCUCUUGUCUCCACCCUGCUGUCUCCUUCCUGUUCCCGUCAUGUUCAAGGACACACCGCUCAGAGCUCUAGCGGCCCAUUACCACUGCAGAAACACGGAACUCCACAAGCUAGAGAGAGCCCGGUCGCCGGGGACCUCGGCCAGCUACAACGUCAGCUGGCGGGUCCUGGCUUCGUGUUUCACACUCACGGAGAUUCACAAAUCGCCACAUUCCAGCCACCGGCCACGCUAUCGCUUUUAACCAAAGACCUGUUUUAUCUUUAAUAAUUCAGAGAUAGGAAUUAUUUAUGCAGUAACCAUUCCAUGCCUUCCUUUCCUGACGCCCCUGAUUUUCACUCGGAUGUCCACUCUCUGAUGUAGCCUCUGUAGCCCUCAGAAACAGAAUCUGAACCCAUUUCCAGUGGCGAUCGGUGGUUGGCUUAAGUCAGUCAAUAAAGUCUACUCUUUUGCCAUGGGUGAGGACCAGGUCGAGACUUGGCUUUCUUCACCAGGAAGGGGCAGACGCAGGUGUUGCGGAGCUUUGGCCAGCCCACCCCAGC